CGGUGCGGUGCACGCCGCGCUCCCAGCACAAAAGCCCGGGCGAAGAAACUCUUGGAAAGCGGCGAGCCGGAGCCGGGGCGGCCGGGCGCUGCGGGGCUGCUCCUCGCCACUGGAUACAUUUUGCAACUGCGAAGGAAUUAAAUCCCAUUUUGUAGGAUUUUUUUUUUUAUUAUUUUUUGUCCCUCUGUUUCCACCCCCCCCUUAUUAUUAUUWUUUUUUUUUAAAGAGAGGAGAGCCUCGUUUCGCCCCCCUUCUUUCACUCUCUCGAGCAUUAUAUAUAUAUACAUAUAUAUUUUUUUUCCUUGGGGAUAGAGAGGCACACAAGGAGAAAAGGAAGAGAAAAAGAAAAGUAAAGGAAUAUGAUUGCUUCGUGGUUGACUUUCGCCUUUCUUUGUGGAACUUUCUGUGCAGAGACUUGUGUCCGACUGCCCUGAGUUUGCAGCGAGAGCCACGCUUUUAUCAGAGUAACUCAGCAUUGCUUAUCAAGUCCCUGGAGAGGAGUUCAGUUUCGGGGCCAAAAGGAGAAACUCCUUUUCGCAGAGGAAUGAAUUCCAGAGAAAUUGGAGAGAAACUAGUCUGCGCCAGCUCCAGUUUUGGACGUUGCGUUGAUGGAGGCUGGUGAGCAAGGAGGUAGCUCCUUCCUGGGGAGGAAACACACGGGCGCCCUAAAAAUCAGUAUAGAGGCAGCAUCCUUUAGAAACGGAUUUCUGUAACAUGUUACUUUAUUGGGAAGAGCAACUUUUCUUUUUCCCCCCAAGCCUAUUUGUACCGAAGCCAAUUAGAAGCACUGUCGAGGCAUCCCUUAGUUCCAGUAAGCUCGUUGUCCUUUAUAGAGGCGGUGAAGACGGCUCUUCUGGCCUCGAAGGUGGUGCUUCCAGAAGGGUUUCUCCUUGUGCAACAGCAGCCUUUAGAUUCAGAGAGGUGUCGGAUCCUUCUAACGUGUUCGGCUGCAAAAUGGUUAUUAUCCAACUCUUUUCAUAGCGGAGGGCACGUAAAAGUGGCUGUGCGGAUUUCAUUUCGCUGUUUUCCCUGUCAGUGCAGGUUAGGUAUCUUGUCAUAUUCUGCGGUGGCUUUCAUUAAAGUGGUUUCCAAGCAAUAGCACUUCAGUGGGUUUUGUUUUCUGUUUUGUGUGUGUGCCUUUUUUCUUUUUCUUUUUUUUUYCCMWKKUUUUUUUCCCCCUUCUCCCUCCUUUUCUGGCGGCGCAUUUCAGGUCGCGUUCGAGAUGGCCAAAGCAAGCCACGUUUUUG
rnacentral:lncRNA from 1 species